GUUUCAGAGAUGCUUUGAAGCAAGUCUAUGAGUUGAACAAGUGCCCUUCACUGCAAGAGAGCAUAAAAUAUGCCAUAGAGGAUGACUGUUCCGUGAUGAAAACGGCGUUUCUUCGUUGCACGGCAGGGGCAGGCAUUACCAAGGAAGUACCAGUGGAUGAAGCUCAUGCGUUGAUUGCAGAGGCAGUUAAAAAGUUGGUACUGUGUUUGAAUGAAAUUGCACCUUGCUAUAUAUUACCUCGGUCCCAAAUUAGUUGUCUUUGAUGUGUCAGGAUACGGA